ensembl:miRNA
AGGGGGCACCGGGAGGAGGUGAGUGUCUCUCGUCGCCUCCUCCUCUCCCCCCUU